UCGGAAAGGACAAACGCUCCUCGCUCGUAGCUGUUGCGAACUCGUGAAAUCUCGCGUUUACUCGUGGAAGUUCGUACUAGUGUGUGUGUGUUUGUGUGUGUGUAAAUGUUCAACUAAUUUGCGAUGUGUCUUACCUGGUAACGUGUUGAGUGACAGUGAUUGGUUAAAACAAGUGAGAGUGAAGAGGCCGACGUCACAGAAGACACGAUACGAUUGGCACAAAAGAUCAAAAUGAGAGUCCGUGAUGUAGUGUUAGUGACAAUAUUGUGCGUGGGUGUGGCGGCCAUUUUGGUCGCAGUCGGAGCGUAUCUGGUGAUACGCCGCAGGAGGCGCAAGCGAGAGGAUGAUGAAGAAGGCACAAGCUGUGCUAUCAGGGCGGAUUCUACCUCGGCUGCAGAUGGAAGAGAGAAAUGUACCAGUAGGCUAAAUGGAUUUCUUAACUUAAAGACACCGUUGAUUAGCACAAAGACUUUGGGG